rnacentral:rRNA from 1 species
CAGUCGUGAGGAAGGCGGCGUCGUUAAUAGCGGCGUUGUUUGACGUUAGCGACAGAAGAAAGCACCGGCUAACUCCGUGCCAGCAGCCGCGGUAAUACGGAGGUGCGAGCGUUAAUCGGAAUUACUGGGCGUAAAGCGCAUGCAGGUGGUUUGUUAAGUCAGAUGUGAAAGACCCGGGGCGUCAACCUCGGAAUUGCAUUUGUAAACUAGGCAGACUAGAGUACUGUAGAGGGGGGUAGGAAUUUCAGGUGUAGCGGUGAAAUAGCGUAGAGAUCUGAAGGAAUACCGGUGGCGAAGGCGGCCCCCUCGGACAGAUACUGACACUCAGAUGCGAAAGCGUGGGGAGCAAACAGGAUUAGAUACCCUGGUAG